rnacentral:rRNA from 1 species
UACGAAGGUGGCAAGCGUUAUUCGGAUUUACUGGGCGUACAGGGAGCGUAGGCGGUUCGGUAAGCCCUCUGUGAAAUCUUCAGGCUUAACCUGGAAAAGUCGGAGGGGACUGCCGGGCUAGAGGAUGGGAGAGGAGCGCGGAAUUCCCGGUGUAGCGGUGAAAUGCGUAGAGAUCUGGAGGAACACCGAUGGCGAAGGCAGCCCCCUGGGCC